UGACUUUAUUGGUGAUAGUGGU
rnacentral:siRNA from 1 species